GAAGCUUUUUAAAAAAUUUUUAUUGAUGCUAUAGUAGCUGUCAAAUACUUGCAAAGAUUUAAGCAAAACUGCGUCCAAGGAUUUACUCUAAGUUUAAACCAUGCUAAGCAAAUGCAGAAAAUCAAAGUGUCUUAUACUGUAUUACUGCUAACGUCAAGUAACAGAAGCUACUGAAGAAGUUAUUUGCCCAGUGGCAGCGACAUUGCUAAGAGCAAUUGAGUUUAAGAGAGAUGUCGAUAUUUAUCGUCGUCAAAUCUCAUAUGAAACACUUACCACUAAAAGAAUUGACGUUUUUGCCAGGACGAUACCAAAUGCAAAAACAAAUAACAAUGGCGAUCUCUCAAACACGUGACUAUUUGAGUAGGUGUAGUUGUAGAAAAUCAAAUAUAUAUUGACGACUAACGGCACAGCAGGAGAAAGUACGCUGGUAUCCUAAAAAAAAUUAGAAAACAGACAAAUAUUCAACUACACGAUCAUAAAUCAAAUUAUUGUUAUAAUUUCUAAUUACUGUAAUUGCCACUAUUUUAGGUAUAUUUAUAACAUUUCCUUUAGCAUUUGCAUAAUCUCCGAUAAUUUUACUAUCCGUUCUUCAACUUCAAGUAAACAACUCUCUUUAAACAAGACAAUUAUCUUUAUUGGGCUGUUGGCAUUAGUAAGUACGUAAUCAAGACGGAUUGUGAGAGAUGUGUAACGUAUUACGCCUUGGCCAAGUACACAUGGAUUGUAAGAGAAAGACGAUGAGCAAUUAAAAAAAUAAAAUGAUG